rnacentral:rRNA from 1 species
UACGAAGGGUGCAAGCGUUAAUCGGAAUUACUGGGCGUAAAGCGUGCGCAGGCGGUUUUGUAAGCCAGAUGUGAAAUCCCCGGGCUCAACCUGGGAAUGGCAUUUGGGACUGCAAGGCUUGAGUGCGGCAGAGGAGACUGGAAUUCCUGGUGUAGCAGUGAAAUGCGUAGAUAUCAGGAGGAAUACCGAUGGCGAAGGCAGGUCUCUGGGCCACUACUGACGCUGAGAAGCGAAAGCGUGGGGAGCGAACAGG